UACGAAGGGGGCUAGCGUUGUUCGGAAUCACUGGGCGUAAAGCGCACGUAGGCGGAUCCUUAAGUCAGGGGUGAAAUCCCGAGGCUCAACCUCGGAACUGCCUUUGAUACUGGGGAUCUUGAGUCCGGGAGAGGUGAGUGGAAUUGCGAGUGUAGAGGUGAAAUUCGUAGAUAUUCGCAAGAACACCAGUGGCGAAGGCGGCUCACUGGCCCGGUACUGACGCUGAGGAGCGAAAGCCAGGGGAGCAAAGCGGG
rnacentral:rRNA from 1 species